GAUGAAGAACGCAGCGAAAUGCGAUAAGUAAUGCGAAUUGCAGAAUUCAGUGAAUCAUCGAAUCUUUGAACGCACAUUGCGCCCGCCAGUAUACUGGCGGGCAUGCCUGUCUGAGCGUCGUUUCGACCCUCGCGCCCGGCUUCUGUCGGGGGCGGUGUUGGGGAUCGGCCACACCCUUCAGUGGGAGGCCGGCCCCUAAAUUCAGUGGCGACCACGCUGUAGCCUCCCCUGCGUAGUACUAAAACCACCUCGCAGGCGGAGAGCGGUGCGGCCCGCCGUAAAACCCCCCAACUUUUACAAGGUCGACCUCAGAUCAGGUAGGAAUACCCGCUGAACUUAAGCAUAUCAAUAAGCGGAGGA
rnacentral:misc_RNA from 1 species